UACGUAGGGGGCAAGCGUUGUCCGGAUUUAUUGGGCGUAAAGAGCGUGUAGGCGGCCAUACAGGUCAGCUGUGAAAACUCGAGGCUCAACCUCGAGACGUCGGUUGAAACCGUAUGGCUAGAGUCCGGAAGAGGAGAGUGGAAUUCCCGGUGUAGCGGUGAAAUGCGCAGAUAUCGGGGAGGAACACCUGUGGCGAAAGCGGCUCACUGGACCACAACUGACGCUGAGGCGCGAAAGCUAGGGGAGCAAACAGG
rnacentral:rRNA from 1 species